rnacentral:rRNA from 1 species
UAGGCCUACAGGAGGCAGCAGUGGGGAAUAUUGCGCAAUGGGGGGAACCCUGACGCAGCAACGCCGCGUGCAGGAAAAAGGUCUUCGGAUUGUAAACUGUUGUCGCAGGGGAAGAAGACAGUGACGGUACCCUGUGAGAAAGUCACGGCUAACUACGUGCCAGCAGCCGCGGUAAUACGUAGGUGGCGAGCGUUAUCCGGAAUGAUUGGGCGUAAAGGGUGCGUAGGCGGCCUGCUAAGUCUGGAGUGAAAGGUACCGGCUCAACCGGUACAGGCUCUGGAAACUGGCGGGCUAGAGAGCAGGAG